rnacentral:lncRNA from 1 species
UCGCAGUUGAUCAAGUACAAGGAUUCCUUGAAAGAAGACAUUCAGAAAGCAGAUCUUGUUAUUAGUCACGCAGGUGCAGGAAGCUGUUUGGAGACUCUGGAAAAAGGAAAGCCACUCGUAGUGGUUAUAAACGAAAAGUUGAUGAACAAUCAUCAGCUGGAACUGGCAAAGCAGCUACACAAAGAGGGUCAUCUCUUCUAUUGUACCUGCAGCACGCUUCCUGGGCUGUUACAGUCAAUGGACUUAUCAACACUGAAAUGUUAUCCUCCUGGCCAGCCAGAAAAAUUUUCUGCAUUUUUGGAUAAAGUUGUUGGAUUACAAAAAUAAACACUAAACUCUCAACACUUUAAAAGCAACCCCCAAAUUCAACCUAUGUAAUGUGAUUAAAUCAAAUUAAAUACAUAAUAUAUAUUUACAAAAUAAUAUAAUUAAUAAACUUCCUACAUCUAUAGAAUGUA